CUUAUCGAGCUGAUAUCAUCAAUGCCAGCUGUGGACAUAACUAGGCAUAAGCAUGAGAUCAAUUUGGCUAACUUGGCGAUAAACAGGAUACAAAGAUGUGCAUUUGAUGAACUGAUUGAUCCAUCGUUCGAGUUUACAUCAGAUACACUUGUUAAGAGAAUGACUAUCUCUGUCGUGAAGCCAACUUUGCGAUAAACAGGAUACAAAGAUGUGCAUUUGAUGAACUGAUUGAUCCAUCGCUCGGGUUUAAAUCAGUUAGACUUGUUAAGCAAAUGACUAUCUCUGUCGCGAAGCUAGCUUUUCAAUGCUUGCAACUUGAGAAAGAUAU
rnacentral:lncRNA from 1 species